rnacentral:rRNA from 1 species
UACGUAGGUGGCAAGCGUUGUCCGGAUUUAUUGGGUUUAAAGGGUGCGUAGGCGGUCCUAUAAGUCAGUGCUGAAAUAUCCCGGCUUAACCGGGAGGGUGGCAUUGAUACUGCAGGACUUGAGUAGAGUCGAAGUAGGCGGAAUUGACGGUGUAGCGGUGAAAUGCUUAGAUAUCGUCAAGAACACCGAUAGUGAAGACAGCUUACUAGGCUCAAACUGACGCUGAGGCACGAAAGUGUGGGGAUCAAACGGG